rnacentral:rRNA from 1 species
UCUUUAGUGGCGAACGGGUGAGUAACACGUAUCUAACCUACCAUUUAGUGGGGAAUAACUGUUGGAAACGACAGCUAAUACCGCAUAUGUUAUUUAUUUGCAAUGAUAAAUAAUGAAAGGAGCAUUUGUUUCGCUAAUUGAUGGGGAUGCGGCGCAUUAACUAGUUGGUAAGGUAAUGGCUUACCAAAGUAACGAUGCGUAGCCGAUCUGAGAGGAUGAACGGCCACAUUGGGACUGAGACACGGCCCAAACUUCUACGGAAGGCAGCAGUAGGGAAUUUUUCACAAUGGGCGAAAGCCUGAUGGAGCAAUGCCGCGUGACUGAUGAAGGUCUUCGGAUUGUAAAGGUCUGUUGUAAGGGAAGAA